rnacentral:rRNA from 1 species
AUGCAUGCUUCAAACUAUUGGGUAUGUGAUGUCAUUAUACAAGAGCCAUCCAAUAUAUCUGCAUGGGAGGUUGGUGAUGCUCUGCACAGAUACAUACACUUGGAUUGCAUGACGGAGGAAGAUAUUCCCUAUGUUUGGAUUGAUGGUUCCCUUUCCAGUUCUAAUGACUAUUGGGUUUCCGCCACACACCAAGCAUUGCUACAUGACAUUGAUGUGCUUCCUCCUCAGGCGACAUCCUUCUUCCUCCUAGCUGGUGGGAAGGUGAUAUUACCAGCUAGAAUAUUCCCAAACAACAAUAGGUUGUUGUGCUACAUCUAUCUUGGUGCACCUUCAGUUUACAUCUCCUCCCUUCCUCUGUUGCAGCCACCACUACUAGAAAAAGGCCUACUAAUGGCGCACCAGUUUUGCCUACUAAUGGCGCAUCACUGGUGCGCCAUUAGUAUCACGCCACUAGUAUUUUUUACUAAUGGCGCACCACUGGUACGCCACUAG